rnacentral:lncRNA from 1 species
AUCAAACCGUAGAUCGAUCGGAGGUGACGUCAUCUUUCAUCCACGACAUGUGGGAGACGAUGACAUGGGAGGCAACCAAGUUGAGGAUAUGGGGAGGCAAUGACGUCGACGAUGUGGAGGGGCUUGUAGGAGUGUGCGUGAAAAUAAAGAAGACAGGUGCUUUAAAUGAACUAAAGAAAGAUUGAAAUGAGUGAUUUAGACCUAUUAUGACGAGUUUAAAAAGACCUAUCAUUAUAAGACUCUAAUAUGAUUGUUGGUUCAUUACCAGUCAUAAAAAGUUAAUUAGAGACAUUAUUAUAAUAAAAGUAAAAGUUAUUAUAACGUAGUUUAGGAAAUCUAUC